GGUGUUGGAUACGAGGUGUUAAACUUUAACAAUGUCACAUCGAAUGUUCGGAUGCUAAUUAGGAGGAUUAAUGGGGUGUUUGGAUCCUGGAGCUAAAGUUUAAUCCGUGUCACAUCAAAUAUUCGGAGACUAAUUAGGAGGACUAAAUAUGACUAAUUAUACCGAUGGAGGCUAAACGGUGAGAUAAAUCUAUUAAGCCUAAUUAAUCCAUCAUUAGCAAAUAGUUAUUGUAGCAGCGCAUUGUCAGUCAUGGACUAAUUAGGCUUAAUAGAUUCGUCUCGCAGUUUAGCCUCCAUCUGUGC
rnacentral:lncRNA from 1 species